AGCUGAGAGAGUACAUCAGGUGGGAAGAAGCUGCAAGGAAUUUGCUGGGUCUCAUAGAAGCAAAGGAGAACAGAAACCACCAGCCACCUCAACCCAAGGCCCUGGGCAAUCAGCAGCCUUCGUGGGAUUCAGAGGAUAGCAGCAACUUCAAAGAUUGGUAGACUCUCUGCUCCAGGUUCUCAACGUGAAGGAAGGAACCCCC
rnacentral:lncRNA from 1 species